rnacentral:rRNA from 1 species
AUGAUGCAGCGACGCCGCGUGAGGGAUGACGGCCUUCGGGUUGUAAACCUCUUUCAGUAGGGAAGAAGCGAAAGUGACGGUACCUGCAGAAGAAGCGCCGGCUAACUACGUGCCAGCAGCCGCGGUAAUACGUAGGGCGCAAGCGUUAUCCGGAAUUAUUGGGCGUAAAGAGCUCGUAGGCGGUUUGUCGCGUCUGCUGUGAAAGACCGGGGCUCAACUCCGGUUCUGCAGUGGGUACGGGCAGACUAGAGUGCAGUAGGGGAGACUGGAAUUCCUGGUGUAGCGGUGAAAUGCGCAGAUAUCAGGAGGAACACCGAUGGCGAAGGCAGGUCUCUGGGCUGUAACUGACGCUGAGGAGCGAAAGCAUGGGGAGCGAACAGGAUUAGAUACCCUGGUAGUCCAUGCCGUAAACGUUGGGCACUAGGUGUGGGGGACAUUCCACGUUUUCCGCGCCGUAGCUAACGCAUUAAGUGCCCCGCCUGGGGAGUACGGCCGCAAGGCUAAAACUCAAAGGAAUUGACGGGGGCCCGCACAAGCGGCGGAGCAUGCGGAUUAAUUCGAUGCAACGCGAAGAACCUUACCAAGGCUUGACAUGAACCGGAAAGACCUGGAAACAGGUGCCCCGCUUGCGGUCGGUUUACAGGUGGUGCAUGGUUGUCGUCAGCUCGUGUCGUGAGAUGUUGGGUUAAGUCCCGCAACGAGCGCAACCCUCGUUCUAUGUUGCCAGCGCGUUAUGGCGGGGACUCAUAGGAGACUGCCGGGGUCAACUCGGA